AUUGAACGCUGGCGGCAGGCCUAACACAUGCAAGUCGAACGAGUGGCGGACGGGUGAGUAAUGUCUGAGAAACUGCCUGAGGGAGGGGGCUAACUACUGUAAAACUUAGCUACUACUGCUUAACAUCGGUUGUGCCCAGAUGGGAUUAGCGAGUAGGUGGGGUAAAGGCUCACCUAGGCGACGAUCCCUAGCUGGUCUGAGAGGAUGACCGGCCACACUGGGACUGAGACACGGCCCAGACUCCUACGGGAGGCAGCAGUGGGGAAUAUUGGACAAUGGGCGCAAGCCUGAUGCAGCCAUGCCGCGUGUGUGAAGAAGGCCUUCGGGUUGUAAAGCACUUUCAGCGGGGAGGCGUUAUUCGCAGAAGAAGCAACGGCUAACUACGUGCCAGCAGCCGCGGUAAUUC
rnacentral:rRNA from 1 species